GUAGUGGAUGCAUGGAAUAGCCUUCCAGCUGAAGUGGUAGAGGUUAACACAGUAAAGGAGUUUAAGCAUGCGUGGGAUAGGCAUAAGGUUAUCCUAGCUAUAAGAUAAGACUAGGGACUAAUGAAAGUAUUUAGAAAAUUGGGCAGACUAGAUGGGCCGAAUGGUUCUUAUCUGCCGUCACAUUCUAUGUUUCUAUGUUUUACUCUAUGCCUGAACGAAUUGAUCCAUCCAGGGUAUGUAGGUGGGAUCUUAUUCUUUGUACAAGUCUAGGAGAAGGUAGCAAAUGUUGAUCUAAAAACAAAC